ensembl:lncRNA
AAAAGGGGAAGGCACAGGGAAAAAGCCAAAGGUGACUCAUGGAUUUCUAACCUGGAACAUGGAACUAAAAUUUGAUGAUGACUCUCCUCCAUCCAUGUGAAUGGAAACAAUGCCUGGGAAUAGCAGAGGAACAAGGGAAAACUCUGAAUUACUAAUCCAUGGAGCAGCCAUAACAGCUCUGAUAUGCUUCUCAUACAACCUAGGUAAAACAGAAACAAACUCUAUCUUGUUUAAGUCACAGUUAUUUUAGGUCUUGUCCAAGCUAUGAAGUAAUGUACUUAUGAAUACAGAAUUUGGUACCUAGGAAUAGGAUAAUGAUGUAACACAAUUGAAUACAUAUUACAUUUGCUUAAUGUGAGAGUUGAAUCAUAAAGAAGGCU